rnacentral:lncRNA from 1 species
CUCUUUCACUUACCACUACCUCCAUCCACCACCCGCCCCACACCACCACAAUCCACCCCACCACCCUAACACCUCGCACCACCAUCCACCGCUGUCAUCCACCUCUACUUCUCUCUCUAUCUACCUUUUUUCCACCCCCACCACCACUCCCGCCAGCCAACACCGCUUCCACCAACCACCACUGCCACAACCAGCGACCCCACAUGCCACCAAUCUCCAUCACCGUCAACACCAUCGCCACCAUAAGCAACCACGAUCGUUCACCCUUUGACUGACCAGACUCCUAAACAGAUCUAAGCGACUGGACUCCUAAACAUAUCUGAACGACCGAACUCCUAAACAGAUCGAUCAGACGGCACGUUUUUUUCGCUUUAAGAAUCCGACUCAACCACCGGUCUCCUCCUCCUUAGAUAAUCGUUGUCGGACUCAAACCCUGAUCUCUAUUAUGAAAAUAUAGAUGUUGGUGCUCCUGAUCCGUGAUAUUAAAGAGGCGUUUCCGGUGAUUCGUUUUGAUACCUGCUUACGUUGAUGGAAGAAUUAGAAUCUGCUUUCGUUGUGGUGGAAGGAGGUGGUGAUGACGGUAGAGAGAGUGAGAGUUUCCUUCUUUAG